rnacentral:piRNA from 1 species
UGGAUAAAAAGCAUGAGCGGUGAUGCCCCU